GCCGCGGUAUUUUAACCGUGCAAAGGUAGCGCAAUCACUUGUCUUUUAAAUGAAGACCUGUAUGAAUGGUAUUACGAGGGCUUAACUGUCUCCUUUUUCAGGUCAGUGAAAUUGAUCUCCCCGUGCAGAAGCGGGGAUAAAACCAUAAGACGAGAAGACCCUAUGGAGCUUUAAGACACUAAGCCAUAUCAAGUUAAAUACCCCCUAACAAGGGGCCAAACUUAUUGAAAUCAUUGGCCGUAUGUCUUCGGUUGGGGCGACCAUGGGGAAACAAAAAACCCCCACGUGGAAUGGGAGCACACUUACUCCUACAGUCAAGAGCCGCCACUCUAACAAACAGAAUUUCUGACCAAUAACUGAUCCGGCAACGCCGAUCAACGGACCAAGUUACCCUAGGGAUAACAGCGCAAUCCCCUUUUAGAGCCCCUAUCGACAAGGGGGUUUACGACCUCGAUGUUGGAUCAGGACAUCCCAAUGGUGCAGCCGCUAUUGAAGGUUCGUU
rnacentral:rRNA from 1 species